AGGCUGACUCAAAGGGUUGUUAUUUUACUCUCUAAUUAACUGUCUUCCUCUAUACACUACUCUACUCCUCUUUCCUCUCUUUGUUUCUCUCUCUCUCUCUAUCUAGGGUUCCUUUCAUCUCCAUUCAAAGUUUCCUCUUCCCCCUUAUUCCAAUUUUCUCUUCACACAAAAUUCACCCCUUUUUUUAUUUAUCCAUUAAAAUUUUUAAUUCACAUUUAUAUGUAUUUCCAUCUAUGUAAUUACUCAUUAGAUUUCACAAUGAGGAUUUCUUGGUUUCUUAAGAGUCAAUUGCCUUGAUAUAGUUGCUUCAAAUUAUCCGAUCGGCUGUUUGUUGUUACUUCUUUGAGAGAAAUUGAAGAAAAGAUUUGGGUAUUAUUUCUUUGUUAAAUCUGAGAAAAGAAUUAUUACUAUGGCUUCUACAGUACCGGCGAAGUCGAAUAAUCCACUUUACAACUUCGAUUUUUCCCACUUGAAAUGGAAGAAGAAUCAUCAUUCGAACAAUCAUCAACGUCGCCGUUCCAACAAGCUGUCGUCGGACUCUUCCUCUCCGUCACGGCACGACUCGCCGCUAAGGCACUCUCAGUCUCAGUCCCCGAUGCGUGAAUCCCUCGCGGCGGCGCGUCAGUCUCCAGUAAGUGAAUCUGCUGAGACGGCGCGUAUAUCGCCGAUGCACAAUUCGGCUGCGGCGGCGCGUCAGUCUCCGAUGCGUGAAUCGGCACGUCAGUCUCCGAUGCGUGAUCCCGUUCCGUCGGUUCAACGAUCAAAGCAUAAGGUACCAGAGAUUAAUGUUGUCAGUAGCAAAGAAAGCAGAUCGAAAAUCUUAAUUAAAAUCCCUCGCAAAAACAAAUCCGAAGAAAUUCAAAUCAACGAGGAUCAAAAUCAAAAGGAGGCAGAUGAGUCUCACGACGAAGCUGCAGCAGCUGAAGAAACAGCACAAAAAACGUGGAAUCUGAGACCUCGGAAGCCGAUACACAAAUCACUGAAUAUAAACGGAGGAGUCCCAUUUCGAUCCAGUGGAUCUGCGAUGCAGGAGAUCAAAUCUCAAUCACCCCAUCACAUGAUGAACGUGAACAAGCCGGAAAAUAAUGAAACCCACGCUGCUUCUGCUCAGAAGAAGGUAAAAAGGCAAAGGUUUUCCAUAGCGUUAUCCAGAGAAGAGAUUGAUGAAGAUCUAUAUGCUAUGACUGGAUUAAAAGCUGCUAGAAGACCUAAGAAGAGAGUUAAAGUUGUUCAGAAACAACUUGAUACACUCUUCCCUGGUUUAUGGCUUGCUUCAAUAACUCCUGAUUCAUAUAAAGUUUGUGAAAAUCUUCCAAAGGGUUAGAAGAAAUUCUUCAAUGAUGGUUUGUCCUUCGAAUGUCCUUGGUUUUUGUGGAAGUUUGAAGGUGAAGGCUUCCAAAUUUUAUGAUUUGCAUUUGGAGUUCAGGAAUAAUAUUUUCAGCCUUGUACGGUAACUGUUAGAAAUGUUAUCGGAUGCAAUUCUCUUCUCCCAAAUGCAUUAUCUUAUUGGGAGGCUGGCAAUUGGCUAAGCUGAUAUGUGGAGGAGCUGCCAUUUUGACAUGAACUAUCCCACUAAGUACAAGCUAUCUUCUCACUAAAUACCUGUUGAAGUAGGUCAGUGGGAGGUAAUAUGUUAUACGCAUAUAAUUAUUUUUGCAUGCAAUUCCUUCUGAUGAAUACACAAGCAGAAAGGUUUCAUUACUUUUUGACUGCUGCAUUUUUGGACUUCUCAACUAACCCAUGGUUUUAGACAGCCUUAAACUGACCUGGUUUGGCUUAGUUAAGUGGACAAGUUGUGAAGCGGAAGAACAUGUCCUGGUUCAACUUUGUGUAUUUUCUCAUAAUGGAGUUUGCUGGACAUCAUAAAGCCCUGCUUCCUGAUAUCUGAAUGCAACACACUGUGCUGCUCUAUUAAAAGUCAUUACUUCAUCGCUUAAGGCGAUGUGACACAAGGGGUUAUUGCUUCAUGGUGAAGCUAUGUGCUUUAGGGAAGUGUGCGCUACUUCAAACAUGAGGUAUAAAGUAAUCCGAACGAGCAGUUAGUACUUUGAAUCUCAACUGGCAAGAGUUGAAUUAGUAUUGACAUUAUAAUAUAUACGGCAUUAGAUGCUGAAAUUAGUUAUUUACCUACAAUUUAUUGAUUAUUGUUCUACUAAAUUCAUAUAUGUUUGACAUAAUUUAA